AACAUGUUCCGGGGACGGUGAAAUUCCGUGCCGGCGGUGACAGUCCGCGACCCGAGCGCAGCAGUGCGAUCGGCCGACUCGGUGGAAUUCCGAGACCGACAGUAAAAGUCUGGAUGGGAGGAACAGGAC
rnacentral:ncRNA from 2 species